CACGUGAGCAAUCUGCCUUUCAGAGGGGGAUACCGAUUGGAAACGAUCGUUAAUACCGCAUAAUAUAAUUGAACCGCAUGAUUUGAUUAUCAAAGAUUUAUCGCUGAAAGAUGAGCUCGCGUCUGAUUAGCUAGUUGGUAAGGUAACGGCUUACCAAGGCGACGAUCAGUAGCCGGACUGAGAGGUUGAUCGGCCACAUUGGGACUGAGACACGGCCCAGACUCCUACGGGAGGCAGCAGUGGGGAAUAUUGCACAAUGGAGGAAACUCUGAUGCAGCGAUGCCGCGUGAGGGAAGAAGGUUUUAGGAUUGUAAACCUCUGUCUUCAGGGACGAAAAAAGACGGUACCUGAGGAGGAAGCUCCGGCUAACUACGUGCCAGCAGCCGCGGUAAUACGUAGGGAGCGAGCGUUGUCCGGAAUUACUGGGUGUAAAGGGAGCGUAGGCGGGAUCGCAAGUCAGAUGUGAAAACUAUGGGCUUAACCCAUAAACUGCAUUUGAAACUGUGGUUCUUGAGUGAAGUAGAGGUAAGCGGAAUUCCUAGUGUAGCGGUGAAAUGCGUAGAUAUUAGGAGGAACAUCAGUGGCGAAGGCGGCUUACUGGGCUUUAACUGACGCUGAGGCUCGAAAGCGUGGGGAGCAAA
rnacentral:rRNA from 1 species